rnacentral:rRNA from 1 species
UUCCGGUUGAUCCUGCCGGACCUGACUGCUAUUGGAGUAGGACUAAGUCACGCUAGUCAAAGGUGCGGAAUGGAGCACCUGGCGUACGGCUCAGUAACACGUAGUCAACCUACCCUAAGGACGAGGACAACCACGGGAAACUGUGGCUAAUACUCGAUAAGAAAUUUGGCCUGGAACGGUAUCUUUCACAAAACCGGCUCGCCGUGAGACACGGGCCUUAGGAUGGGGCUGCGGCUGAUUAUGCUAGAUGGCGGUGUAAAGGACCACCAUGGCUACGAUCAGUAUGGGCGAUGGAAGUCGGAGCCCAGAGUCGGCUACUGAGACAAGGAGCCGAGCUUUACGAAGCUUAGCGGUCGCGAAAACUCGCCAAUGCACGAAAGUGUGAGUGGGCUACUCCAAGUGUCAUUCUUACGGAUGACUGUCGCUCAGUCUUACCAGCUGAGAAAGGAAGGAGAGGGCAAGGCUGGUGCCAGCCGCCGCGGUAAAACCAGCUCUUCGAGUGGUCAGGACGAAUAUUGGGUCUAAAGCGCUCGUAGCCGGACAAGUAGGUUCUUGGUUAAACCCGACAGCAUAACUGUUGGUCUGCUGGGAAUACCGCUAGUCUUGGGAGCGGGAGAGGACAGAGGUAGUCAUAGGGCAGGGGUGAAAUCCAGUGAUCCUAUGGCGACCACCGAUGGCGAAGGCAUCUGUCUGGAACGUAUCCGACGGUGAGGGGCGAAAGCUAGGGGAGCGACCCGGAUUAGAUACCCGGUUAGUCCUAGCCGUAAACGAUGCGGACUAGUGUUACAGCGGGCCAAGAGCCACUGUAGUGCCACAGCGAAAGGCGUUAAGUCCGCCACCUGGGGGAGUACGGAUGCAAGUCUGAACUUAAAGGAAUUGACGGGGGCGCACCACCAGGAGUGAGCCUGCGCUUUAAUGGAUUCACGCCGGAA